rnacentral:tRNA from 1 species
GAAAUGUUAGUAAAACAAUUACACAGCUUUGUCAAGGCUGAAUUACAGGUGCAAACCCUGUACAUCUCA